GUGCUCACUUCAGCAGCACACACACUAAAAUUGGAACCAUACAGAGAAGAUUAGCAUGGCCCCUGUGCAACGACAACACGGAAAUUCAUGAAGCAUUCCAUAUUUUU